CCGUGCUAGGCGGGGAGCCAGCGGUGCCCUGUACCCACAAUCCGCUACAGUGGGGCUGAACGCCGCCCGAGGCUUAUCGUAUGGAGGGCUGACCCCGUUAAGCGGUGAUGAUGGUAAGGUCUUGUGCAACGUUGCACCGUGAACCGUGUCAGGGCGGGAACGCAGCAGCACUAAGCGGAGCGCAGCGUGUGCCACAAGGUAGCUUUACCGGAGCCGGCUGGCGGGCAAUCGCCUCGGUACGGUCUGUCGACGGCGGAUGCACG
rnacentral:SRP_RNA from 1 species